rnacentral:rRNA from 1 species
UUUAAUGGAGAGUUUGAUCCUGGCUCAGGACGAACGCUGGCGGCGUGCCUAAUACAUGCAAGUCGAGCGGGGUCAGUUAGAAGCUUGCUUCUAAUCAACCUAGCGGCGGACGGGUGAGUAACACGUAGGCAACCUGCCCACAAGACAGGGAUAACUACCGGAAACGGUAGCUA